UACGUAGGUGACCAGCGUUGUCCGGAUUUACUGGGCGUAAAGAGCGCGCAGGCGGUCGUACAAGUCGCGUGUGAAAGCCCCCGGCUCAACUGGGGAGGGUCACGCGAUACUGCUCGACUCGAAGGCAGGAGAGGGAAGUGGAAUUCCCGGUGUAGUGGUGAAAUGCGUAGAUAUCGGGAGGAACACCAGUGGCGAAGGCGACUUCCUGGCCUGUUCUUGACGCUGAGGCGCGAAAGCUAGGGUAGCAAACGGG
rnacentral:rRNA from 1 species